AAGCACAGUUCCUGCAGCGUUGCCUGGUUUGCACGGAGAGGCUGCUGGUGUCUGGACGUGGGUCCUUGGGGGACCUUCGAUUUCUCACCGGGUCCAGGGUGGCCCCGGCGGGAGGAGGACCCCGCCCACAUUCCUGGGAUUCCUUCUGUCCUUCCCACAUUGUUUGUUUGUUGACUUUAAAUUGGACUCUGCCAGGAAUUCCUUUUCCUCUUGGGUUUAGUGGGUUGAUGGAGGUCGAAGGAGCACAUGUCUGCUUGCAGGGCAGGCCGGGUCCUGAUGGACACCGAGGUCCGGACAUAGACGGUGGCUCAGCCUGAACCCUGGACAGCCUGGAGCACAGCCACGCAACUGCUUCUAAGACAAAACCGAGGAAAAAGCAGGAUUAAGCGGGGAUGAUGUCUGUUGGCCCUCAGCAGGAGCAUCUGCCAACGUCUCCUCGUCGUGGACCUGAGAAUGUUCUCCGGAAGCUGGAGUCCGAGCAUCGCCAGGCCCAGCCCUGGGUCCUCCACCCCGGCCACUGCCUCUCAGGUGGGCUCUCCCUGCCCCCGCCCUCCAGCGCCCCACACGGCGGCCAGUGCAGACCUGGAUGUGCAACGGCCCCAUCAGCAUUUGUUUCAUGAACAAAUAAAUGUCUGAAUUCAGGGCCCA